rnacentral:sRNA from 1 species
AUGUACCAAUCGUACACUGCGGUUUCUCCGCGCCGUCCGCACCCACCUAGCGACUGCUCGCUACGUUUUGUUAGCC